rnacentral:rRNA from 1 species
UGAGGAAUAUUGCGCAAUGGGGGAAACCCCGACGCAGCGACGCCGCGUGAGUGAUGAAGGCCUUCGGGUUGUAAAGCUCUGUCAGAGGGAAAGAAAGGGAUGCGGAAUAAUACCCGCAGCCAUUGACGGUACCCUCGGAGGAAGCACCGGCUAACUCCGUGCCAGCGGCCGCGGUAAUACGGAGGGUGCAAGUGUUAUUCGGAAUCACUGGGCGUAAAGAGCACGUAGGCGGAUGGGUAAGUCAGAUGUGAAAUCCCGGGGCUCAA